GGAAGUUAGUCGAAUGUCGGUUUGUCGUGAUGCUUUGCUAAAGCAUUCUGGUUAAUAGCCAGCGGGGGUUCGACUCCCUCAACUUCCG
rnacentral:tRNA from 1 species